rnacentral:rRNA from 1 species
GACAGAGGUGCCAAGCGUUAGGCGGAAUCACUGGGCUUAAAGCGUGUGUAGGCAGAUCGUUAAGUACCUCGUGAAAUCCCACGGCUCAACCGUGGAACUGCUGGGUAUACUGGCGAUCUUGAGCCACCUAGGGGCGAGCGGAACAAACGGUGGAGCGGUGAAAUGCGUAGAUAUCGUUUGGAACGCCAACGGUGAAAACAGCUCGCUGGGGGUGUGCUGACGCUGAGACACGAAAGCCAGGGGAGCGAACGGG